GUCCUGGCAGUAAAACGGUGUGCGUUUGGUGUAGGAGGAUUCGACCCCUUCUGUGCCGGAGCUAACGCGUUAAACGCACCGCCUGGGGAGUACGGUCGCAAGAUUAAAACUCAAAGAAAUUGACGGGGGCCCGCACAAGCGGUGGAGUAUGUGGCUUAAUUCGAUGCAACGCGAAGAACCUUACCUGGGCUUGACAUGCAUCUCUAAGUCGGUGAAAGCCGGCGACUGGAGCAAUCCAGAAUUUGCACAGGUGCUGCAUGGCUGUCGU
rnacentral:rRNA from 1 species